AGAGCGGCGUACGGGUGCGGAACACGUGUGCAACCUGCUUUAUCUGGGGGAUAGCCUUUCGAAAGGAAGAUUAAUACCCCAUAAUAUGUUGAAUGGCAUCAUUCGACAUUGAAAACUCCGGUGGAUAGAGAUGGGCACGCGCAAGAUUAGAUAGUUGGUGAGGUAACGGCUCACCAAGUCUACGAUCUUUAGGGGGCCUGAGAGGGUGAUCCCCCACACUGGUACUGAGACACGGACCAGACUCCUACGGGAGGCAGCAGUGAGGAAUAUUGGACAAUGGGUGAGAGCCUGAUCCAGCCAUCCCGCGUGAAGGACGACUGCCCUAUGGGUUGUAAACUUCUUUUGUAUAGGGAUAAACCUACCCUCGUGAGGGUAGCUGAAGGUACUAUACGAAUAAGCACCGGCUAACUCCGUGCCAGCAGCCGCGGUAAUACGGAGGGUGCAAGCGUUAUCCGGAUUUAUUGGGUUUAAAGGGUCCGUAGGCGGAUCUGUAAGUCAGUGGUGAAAUCUCACAGGUUUAAUUGUGAAAUUGCCAUUGAUACUGCAGGUCUUGAGUGUGUGAAAGUAGCUGGAAUAAGUAGUGUAACGGGUGAAUUGCUU
rnacentral:rRNA from 1 species